rnacentral:rRNA from 1 species
GAUGAACGCUGACAGAAUGCUUAACACAUGCAAGUCGAUUCGAUUUACCUUCGGGUAUUGAGGAUGGCGGACGGGUGAGUAACGCGUAAGGAACUUGCCUCUUGGUCUGGGACAACUGUUGGAAACGACAGCUAAUACCGGAUAUUAUGAGAUUCUCGCAUGGGAAACUUAUGAAAGCUAUAUGCGCCAAGAGAGAGCCUUGCGUUCCAUUAGCUAGUUGGUGGGGUAACGGCCCACCAAGGCGACGAUGGAUAGCCGGCCUGAGAGGGUGAACGGCCACAAGGGGACUGAGACACGGCCCUUACUCCUACGGGAGGCAGCAGUGGGGAAUAUUGGACAAUGGACCAAAAGUCUGAUCCAGCAAUUCUGUGUGCACGAUGAAGGUCUUCGGAUUGUAAAGUGCUUUCAGUUGGGAAGAAGAAAGUGACGGUACCAACAGAAGAAGCGACGGCUAAAUACGUGCCAGCAGCCGCGGUAAUACGUAUGUCGCAAGCGUUAUCCGGAUUUAUUGGGCGUAAAGCGCGUCUAGGCGGAAAAAUAAGUCUGAUGUUAAAAUGCGGGGCUCAACUCCGUAUUGCGUUGGAAACUGUUUUUCUAGAGUACUGGAGAGGUGGGCGGAACUACAAGUGUAGAGGUGAAAUUCGUAGAUAUUUGUAGGAAUGCCNAUGGAGAAGUCAGCUCACUGGNCAGAUACUGACGCUAAAGCGCGAAANCGUGGGGAGCAAACAGGAUUAGAUACCCUGG